UACGUAGGUGGCAAGCGUUAUCCGGAAUUAUUGGGCGUAAAGAGCGCGCAGGUGGUUGAUUAAGUCUGAUGUGAAAGCCCACGGCUUAACCGUGGAGGGUCACUGGAAACUGGUCGACUUGAGUGCAGAAGAGGGAAGUGGAAUUCCAUGUGUAGCGGUGAAAUGCGUAGAGAUAUGGAGGAACACCAGUGGCGAAGGCGGCUUCCUGGUCUGUAACUGACACUGAGGCGCGAAAGCGUGGGGAGCAAACAGGAUUAGAUA
rnacentral:rRNA from 1 species